AAAAAAAAAGAAUACAAGACCUUGCUAACAAUAGCAAAGAUCAAUUAAUUCAAAAUUUGAAAAACUGUAAUUUAUUUAGCUUUAGAGUACUCUCGUGAUAUGAGAUUGCCAAAUUAAUACUUUGGGUGCAUUUCUUUUCUCAAAGGACUUGCAAAUUUACAAAGAAGUGUUGAAGAAAAGCCACACAUUGGCAGGUAAUGUUUGCAAAAGACAGAUCUGAUGAAGAACAAUAUUUUUAGAAUAUACAAAGAAUACUUAAAACUCAACAGUAAGAAAAUAACCUGAUUUAAAGCAGGCCAAUGACCUGAACAUCUGUUCACCAAAGAAGAUACACAGAUGCAAGUAUGCAUAUGAAAAGAUGCUUGACAUCAUGUCAUUAGGGAACUGCAAAUUAAAACAAGUAGAUACCACUGCAUACCUAGUAGAAUGACCAAAAUUUAGAACACUGUCAGCACCAAAGGUUGCAAAGAUAUGUAGCAAUAGUAACUUGUUCAUUACUGGUGAGAAUGCAAAAUGUGCAAUCACUUUGGAAGACAGUUUGGUGGUUUCUUACAAAAGUAACCAUACUUUUACCAUAAGAUUCACCAAUCACACUCCUUAGUAUUUAUCCAAAGGAAUUGAAAACUUAUCUCCACACAAAAACCUGCACAUAGAUGUUUAUAGCAGCUUUAUUCAUAAUUUAUCCAAAACUUGGAAACAAGAUGUCUUUCAGUAGGUAAGUGGAUAACUGUGGUACUUCUGAAUAAUGGAAUGUUAUUUAGAGUUAAAAAGAAAUGCAUUCACUUUGGGAGGGAUUACAGGUGUGAGCCACCAUGCCUGGCUGCUCUGUAAGUGUCUGAAUUUCAUUUUGUAUUUAUCAGUCUGUUUAGAUUUUCUUUCCCUUCUUGGGUCAGUUAGGCCAUUGGUUUCUUUUUAAAGGUUUUCAAAUUUAUUUGCAUCUAAUUCUUCAAAUUACUCUCAAAAUUAUUCCAGUAUAUAUUCUUUUGUUCCUAUUUUCUUCUGUAUUCUUUAUUAAAAUAGCUAAUGAUUUAUCUAGCAGGACUUAUAUUCUUUCCAUAACUUUCCUGCACCCCAAUUAAUCUCCAAUUUUAUAUUUCUUCUGGCCUUCCUUAUAGUUUCCACAGGUUUAUUUUAUUCAUUUUUUAAAACUUUUAUUUAAUUGUUUAUUUUAUUAUCAUUCUUUCUUAUUCAGCAAUCUAAGUGCUUAGGGAUAUAGAAUUUCCUCUAAGCAGCAUAUGCUAGGCUUUAACAAUGUUAGGGAGGCCUCCCCUUUCUGGGGAAGACCACACUUACAUUAACACAGGACUGUGGGAUGCCAAGAGGUAGAGAAGAGCUUAUGAAUAUCCAGAUUACAUCUUCACUGAUCCUGCACAAAGGUGGGGUUCCUCGGUUACCCACUGGGUCCUAUUACCCAAGUCUGGGUCAGCAUACCGAGACUACGGGUAUAUAGAACAAGUGCAACUGGCGAUAAUCCUUCUGUUGGGGAGAAAAAUCUUUUUUUUCUAUUCAUCUUAGGUUCUCCAUCUGUGGCCCUAUCAAGUAGACUAACAAAAGACAGAUUGACAAGACAGAAACAAAGCAUGUGCAUUGUACAAACACAGGGGAGUACUGAGAUGAAUACUCAAAAGAGGAUUUAGAACUUGGGCUUAUAUAGCAUUUUAAGAAAAGAAUACAUUUUUUAAGUGACAAGGAAGACGAAAAGGACUUUGAGUUUCUAGUGCAGUAAAUUGUGGGAAGGCAACUUUUUCUUUCCCUUUUUUUUUUUUUUUUUUUAAAAAAAAAGACUUCUCUGGUGCUAUGUCCAGGCUGAUAAGAGUCUAAAGUCUCUGGUGACUAACUUUUGUUCUUCCCCGAGUAAGAAGACACCUUCACAAUUUCAUAUCCUGCUUUUAGGCAAAUAGGGAGAGGGCAGAGGUGUUUGUUUGUUUUUAAUCUAUUUUUUUUCUCAAUUGUCUUCAACUCAAAAUACUUCUUAUGCCAAAGAUGGCAUAUUCUGCUACCCUUCACUUACUACUUACAACCCAGCCUCUAU
rnacentral:lncRNA from 1 species